rnacentral:misc_RNA from 1 species
UUCUAUUAGCUAUUAUUAAAAUUAAAAGUCAUGAAAAACAAUAUUUUCAGCUUAAAAGAAUAAAUGAAAUAGCUUUUAUUUACUAAUAAUUAAUUAACUUCUAAUCCAUACAAGACGCCAGCAUGUCUUUCUGCUCCGUUAUUCACAAAAUAAAUAUCCCUCAUUUUCUGAAACGCAUGCCACGUCAGCAAGCUAUCUGAACCGGCCUGGUGACAUUUUCCGACCGCCCGGUCCACGGACAAUGUCUUCGCAAGCCGGUCUAAACCACCAUAAAGGCUAUUACAGAAUCUCAUCAAAUGCUUCAUAUCAUAAACUUUAUUUCCAAAAAACACCCUCACGACUUCCAUAAACUCCUCUAAUCCACCGGGGAGUUCCCGGCGCGUGAGUAUCUUCACCAGGUAACCGAAAUCAUACGCGCUGUGAAACGUAACCCAACUCACCGAUUCAUUACAAACCAAACCGGACGACAUCAUCAGUUCAGUGAACCGGGCUGAGUUGAUCCCGCAUUCCCGGUUCAUUUCAAAGUCGAUCCCCUGUCGGCGGAGUAACUCGAUGGAAUCCGGAGCGUAGAGAUCACGCUCCACAUCGAAAUCGGAGAAAUUGAACUGCCAUAUGUAGCCGCCUCCGUCAGAUCCUAAACCAGGUAGGUUACCUUCCGCGUCAGAUAAAGUUAACCCAAGCUGUAUGAGAUUCAACACAUCCACGUUAGACUUCAAGAGCUUAUACUGAUCGGAUGGGGGAUUGUAGGAAACGUUAGGCUUGAAAACAACCCCAGGAAACUCAGUAUCCAUAGAUAUGUAAGGGUAGUUAUCAAUCACAGUUGAAAUAAGUUGAAAUUCUGGUUCGAGAUUAUGAGCCCAUACUUGUCGAAUUUUAAUAGCCAUUAUGGGUAUUGAAAGUAUGAAAG